rnacentral:rRNA from 1 species
UGGGGAAUAUUGCACAAUGGGCGCAAGCCUGAUGCAGCCAUGCCGCGUGUAUGAAGAAGGCCUUCGGGUUGUAAAGUACUUUUAGCGGGGAGGAAGGGAGUAAAGUUAAUACCUUUGCUCAUUGACGUUACCCGUAGAAGAAGCACCGGCUAACUCCGUGCCAGCAGCCGCGGUAAUACGGAGGGUGCAAGCGUUAAUCGGAAUUACUGGGCGUAAAGCGCACGCAGGCGGUUGAUUGAGUCAGAUGUGAAAUCCCCGGGCUUAACCCGGGAAUUGCAUCUGAUACUGGUCAGCUAGAGUCUUGUAGAGGGGGGUAGAAUUCCAUGUGUAGCGGUGAAAUGCGUAGAGAUGUGGAGGAAUACCGGUGGCGAAGGCGGCCCCCUGGACAAAGACUGACGCUCAGGUGCGAAAGCGUGGGGAGCAAACAGG